rnacentral:ncRNA from 1 species
CUCAUGGAGAGUUUGAUCCUAGCUCAGGAUGAACACUAGCGACAUGCUUAACACAUGCAAGUCAGACGGGAAGUGGUGUUUCCAGUGGCGGACGGGUGAGUAACACGUAAGAACCUGCCCUUGGGAGGGGAACAAUAGCUAGAAACGGCUGCUAAUACCCCAUAGGCUGAGGAGAAAAAGGAGGAAUCCACCCAAGGAGGGGCUCGCAUCUGAUUAGUUAGUUGGUGAGGCAAUGGCUUACCAAGGCAACGAUCAG